AUUGAACGCUGGCGGAAUGCUUUACACAUGCAAGUCGAACGGUAGAGGGGGCAACCCCUCGAGAGUGGCGAACGGGUGAGUAGUAUAUCGGAACGUGCCCAGUCGUGGGGGAUAACGUAGCGAAAGUUACGCUAAUACCGCAUACGAUCUAAGGAUGAAAGCGGGGGAUCGCAAGACCUCGCGCGAUUGGAGCGGCCGAUAUCAGAUUAGGUAGUUGGUGGGGUAAAGGCUCACCAAGCCAACGAUCUGUAGCUGGUCUGAGAGGACGACCAGCCACACUGGAACUGAGACACGGUCCAGACUCCUACGGGAGGCAGCAGUGGGGAAUUUUGGACAAUGGACGCAAGUCUGAUCCAGCCAUUCCGCGUGCAGGAUGAAGGCCCUCGGGUUGUAAACUGCUUUUGUACGGAACGAAAAGGUCUCUCUUAAUACGGGGGACUCAUGACGGUACCGUAAGAAUAAGCACCGGCUAACUACGUGCCAGCAGCCGCAGUAAGAC
rnacentral:rRNA from 1 species